GGUUGACCUCGGAUCAGGUAGGAAUACCCGCUGAACUUAAGCAUAUCAAUAAGCGGAGGAAAAGAAACCAACAGGGAUUGCCCCAGUAACGGCGAGUGAAGCGGCAAGAGCUCAAAUUUGAAAUCUGGCCUCCCCUGGGGGCCCGAGUUGUAAUUUGCAGAGGAUGCUUCGGGUGCGGCCGCCGUCUAAGUUCCUUGGAACAGGACGUCAG
rnacentral:rRNA from 1 species